ACCUGGCUGGCUCAGUUGGUAGAGUGCCAGACUCCUGAUCUCGGGUUUGUGGGUUCGAGCCCCAUAUUGGGUA